CCUGCAGAAAAAAAUCAAGGGCAUGAGUAUUAAUAGGAAAAAUAUUAGAGCCCACUUAUUCCACUCCCACAGCCUACAAGGGUUUGAAUCUCACAGUAUUGAAAGUAAGAGAAGUCAGUGUUGCUGAGAAUGUCAGGGUGCACGUGAGAAGGAGGCUGGAGCAGGAGAAGGGGAACAGAUUUGAGCUGCUGGGGAUGCAUUUCGGUGUCUGUGGAGCAGGAUCGGGGGUGGGGCACUGAUCCCAACGGCAUAAUGACAAGGUCAGCCUCAUCUCUUCUCUCUGUUCUUGGCAGUAGCCAGUCUAGCUAGAAAGAGCAAUCUGUCAAGUCUAAUUAGAGUGAAAGAAAGUGAACAAUGGGUGCCCCGCUCUAAAGUGACGGCCCAGUGUAAUGGGGUGGAGGAGCUUGGGAGGGACGUGUGCUUUGUGUGCUGGAGUUGGUUCCUUCAAGUGGAUCCUUUCUGAACUCAAACUGCAACACAACUUAAACUGGAUUCGUAUUUACUUCACCAGAAAUCUUCAGGUCCCUGCGCUUUUUAGCACAUGCACAUCCAGCAAAAGCAGAGGAGGACCUGGCUCUGUUUCAAAGACUCUUCUACAGGCGAGAGAGCAGCUCGAGAAAAUUCAGCUGCGGCGCCAUCUGCUGGACGCUCUGCGACGCUGCAAGGCCCUGCGGAGAAGGAGAGGUCGGCUUGCAGUUCUAGAGGUUGGAAGGCCGAGUUC